rnacentral:lncRNA from 1 species
UUUGGUCUUUUUGACAUUCCCCAGCCCUAUAAACACAUGUACUUGUCCGGUAAGUUGGGUAUAUUUAGUCUUGGAGCCAUAUAUUGAAGUCUGAGCCAAUGAAGGAGAAAGACUCCAAUCUCCUAAUCGGGUUGUCACGUUUUCCAAAUCGUCGUUUCUAUGGUUUAUGCUAUGAACUCCUUUAUGAAGUAAUUUUCCUUUAUAAGAACUUGAUGAUGCAUCAGUUUAAGACUUUAGGUUCUUGAAUUAAUACCUACUGUGUAUGUUUGACGGUGAACCCUUCAAAGCAAAUCGUAAUAUACUCGAGAAAGAAAUUAAGAGGAAAUCGUGUGCUUGAAUAGUUCUCGUAAUGGCUCUCCUAUAGCCCGUUUAUCCGAGAGAAGAAUUGGUUGCAGGAGUGUGUUAUUGGAAAUUUGGAAUUGGAGUAUUCAGAAGAAGCUAUAUUACUAUCUAAAAUCCAUCACUAUAAACAUACACAAAUUUAAUUACUAAUGUGUUUCUAGACUCUUUAUGCUAUAGUUAUUCGAGAGACGACUCAGAAUAAUUGGUGAUAGGAAUAGGCGAUUAUACUCAUGAGAAGUAAUCAAUAUUUAUUCUAAAAAGAUAUAUGUACUAAUCAAGGUGUAAAAUCUAAACAAACUAUAUAAGUCUAUAGUUCUUCAUCCUUAUCAAAAAAGAAAGUCUCUCCUUCUUCUCAAAUAAUUAUCCUUAAUCAUGGUUCAAAAAUAUAGAUCAUGUUAUUUGGUUUUUGGACAUUAGAACAAAAUUAUUGGAUUUUAAUUGCUUUCAAAUACCAAGAAUAAAUUAUUUAAUAACUAUUCUAGUCCUUGUGGGAUCGAUACAUAAAGGCAAGAACAGACUUUAUUUUUUAAAAUUGGUGUUUUGCACUCUUAGACCAAAGUGUAGAAUCAGCAGCUCAACGAGAUAAGGUCAGGAGUGGGGGCUUUUCUACCAGGCAUUCUUCUCAUCUUGUUCCUAUUAUUGUUACUUUAUCUCUUUGGAGGGUAAGCGAAGUUUCCAUCUAUGUGAGUUAAUAAAAUGUAAUGCUGGAACUUUAUCAA